AUGGGCUCGCCUGCUGCAAGCAGAAGCAGCGCCCACCUCCUCCUCCUCCGCCUUCUCCUUCUCCUCAUCGCUGGCUUGCACCUAUCUGGAGCCCAAUCUCCCGUCCCCGCCCCCGCUCCGGCUCCCGCUCCAGUGACAGUGGCCCCUCCUACCCCUCUCGCUCCGCCCGCCGAUGCCCUCCCCCCUCCCGCUGUAGUCGCAGAUGCCUUCUCGUUCAGCUUCGACUUCACCGACAAAUCCAACUACCGCCAUGAUGACCUCAAGUUCGAGGGCGACGCCGCCGCCCACACCAACCAGGUCGACCUCACCUGCAACACCGAAGGUUGCGAUAAUGUGGGACGCGUGUCGUACGGGCACCCCGUGCCCUUGUACGACAGCGCCACCGGAGAGGUGGCCAGCUUCCAAACGAGAUUCACCUUCAACAUCUCCACCGACAACUACGCUACCAGGGGAGAUGGCAUGGCUUUCUUCCUCGCCUAUUUCAAUUCCACGAUUCCUUCGUCCUCGUGGGGCUGCCUCGGCCUCACGUCCCUAGAUGGAGGCGGCAGCAAUUGCCUGACCGCCUUGGGCACCGACCAGUUUUUGGCCGUGGAGUUCGACACGUUCCACGACACCUGGGACCCCUACGGCAACUACGACCACAUCGGCAUCGACAUCAACUCCAUGAUCUCGCUGAACACAACAAGCUUGACGAGCUUCAACAUCAGUUACGGCAACUCCAUGACGGCCAUCAUCACCUUUAACAGCACCACCCAGGUGCUUGUCGCCGACCUGUCCGAUGACGCUGGUAACUAUCCCCCCGUUCAGGUGAGCAAGCAGUUACACGAGCCGCUCAACACCAUGUUCCCGGCUCUAGUGGCUGUGGGGAUUUCUGGGGCCACCGGCGACAGCAUGGCGCAAAAUGGGAUACACUCGUGGUCCUUCAACUCGUCCCUUGCUCUGCCCCACAAAGGUAAAGAGAUGAAGCCAGCGAUAAUUGGAGGGUCAAUUGGAGGAGCUGUGGCAUUGGUGGUUGUGGUUUGGUGUAUCCUCUCGUGCUUCAGGUGGAAAAAGAGCACUAAAAGCCAUGAUUUUGUGACACGAACUGGAGGACCUAGACAGUUCGACUACCGUGAUCUGGUUGUUGCAACGGACAACUUCUCAGGGGAGAGGGUUAUUGGGCGAGGUGCCUUUGGAGUAGUCUAUAGGGGUACCUUGAUCUCCAAGGGAUCAUCAUCAUCAUCAUCAUCAUCAGUUGUGCACUCGAGAGAACCGGAUGCAUUGUCCUCCAUGGAAUCGGGUGCGUCAUCGAACAUCGAACCGAAGGAAUCAGACAGCGGUCAGGUGGCUGUAAAGAAAAUCUUGAAUGAGCCAAGGGGAGGAAAUCUUGACUUCGUCGCGGAGAUGAGCACCAUUAGUGCAGCAAAGCACAAGAAUCUCAUCAAACUGAAAGGUUGGUGCUGCAAAGAAAACAGCCAAAACAUGCUUGAUUUCAUGUGUUGGUCCUCCAGGAAGAAGAAAGAUGACGAGCUCUUCCUUGUCUAUGAACUGGUGCCUAAUGGUAAUCUGCAUUACCACCUACGUGAGAGUGAGCAAGUGAUAGCAUGGCCAACAAGGUACCAAAUCAUCAAAGACAUUGGCUCUGCUCUUAUUUACCUCCACCAUGAUUGUGCUCCUUAUAUUCUGCAUAGAGAUAUCAAACCAAGCAACAUACUCCUAGACAACAAUUUCAACGCCAAGCUUGCUGACUUCGGGUUGUCGAGGAUCGGCAACCAGGACAAUGCAACAUUAUUGACAAACGCCAUAGGGACAGAAGGGUACAUAGAUCCAGAAUGCAGGAAAGUUGGAAAAGUAAAGUUCUACCCGAGCUCCGAUGUCUACAGCUUCGGAAUCGUCCUGCUAGACAUUGUAUGCACAGGGAAGUCGAGGGAGCAAGUCUGGGAGUUGUACAUAAGAGGAAAGGUCAUGGAGGCUGCAGAUGGAAGGCUUCAUGGCGGCGACGACUUGGACAAGAGGCAGAUGCAGCGCGUGGCUAUCCUGGGACUCUGGUGUUCUCUUCUUGACAGUUCCAUGAGGCCUACCGUUAGGAAAGCAAUGGAGGUCUUGGAACGUGACGAGCCGUUGCCUGACCUGAACUACUUGGUGAACACUUCGGUGCCCUCAGCACAACAAGACACCUACACCAUUAACUCUGACCAGCAUGCACUUAUGAUAGAUGAGAGCUAG
rnacentral:rRNA from 1 species